UGGAAUUUAGGAUAAUUAAACCAAGAGCCUUCAAAGCCCUAAAAAGAAGCUAAGCCCUUCUAAUUCCAA
rnacentral:tRNA from 1 species